rnacentral:tRNA from 1 species
GCCUGGCUGGCUCAGUCGGUGAAGUGAGUGACUCUUGAUCUCGGGGUUGUGGGUUCGAGCCCCAUGUUGGGUG